GAUUAAGUUAUUAAGGGCGCACGGUGGAUGCCUUGGCACUAGAAGCCGAUGAAGGACGUUACUAACGACGAUAUGCUUUGGGGAGCUGUAAGUAAGCUUUGAUCCAGAGAUUUCCGAAUGGGGAAACCCAGCAUGAGUUAUGUCAUGUUAUCGAUAUGUGAAUACAUAGCAUAUCAGAAGGCACACCCGGAGAACUGAAACAUCUUAGUACCCGGAGGAAGAGAAAGAAAAUUCGAUUCCCUUAGUAGCGGCGAGCGAAACGGGAAGAGCCCAAACCAACAAGCUUGCUUGUUGGGGUUGUAGGACACUCUAUACGGAGUUACAAAGGACGACAUUAGACGAAUCAUCUGGAAAGAUGAAUCAAAGAAGGUAAUAAUCCUGUAGUCGAAAAUGUUGUCUCUCUUGAGUGGAUCCUGAGUACGACGGAGCACGUGAAAUUCCGUCGGAAUCUGGGAGGACCAUCUCCUAAGGCUAAAUACUCUCUAGUGACCGAUAGUGAACCAGUACCGUGAGGGAAAGGUGAAAAGCACCCCGGAAGGGGAGUGAAAUAGAACCUGAAACCGUGUGCUUACAAGUAGUCAGAGCCCGUUAAUGGGUGAUGGCGUGCCUUUUGUAGAAUGAACCGGCGAGUUACGAUUUGAUGCAAGGUUAAGCAGUAAAUGUGGAGCCGUAGCGAAAGCGAGUCUGAAUAGGGCGUUUAGUAUUUGGUCGUAGACCCGAAACCAGGUGAUCUACCCUUGGUCAGGUUGAAGUUCAGGUAACACUGAAUGGAGGACCGAACCGACUUACGUUGAAAAGUGAGCGGAUGAACUGAGGGUAGCGGAGAAAUUCCAAUCGAACCUGGAGAUAGCUGGUUCUCUCCGAAAUAGCUUUAGGGCUAGCCUCAAGUGAUGAUUAUUGGAGGUAGAGCACUGUUUGGACGAGGGGCCCCUCUCGGGUUACCGAAUUCAGACAAACUCCGAAUGCCAAUUAAUUUAACUUGGGAGUCAGAACAUGGGUGAUAAGGUCCGUGUUCGAAAGGGAAACAGCCCAGACCACCAGCUAAGGUCCCAAAAUAUAUGUUAAGUGGAAAAGGAUGUGGCGUUGCCCAGACAACUAGGAUGUUGGCUUAGAAGCAGCCAUCAUUUAAAGAGUGCGUAAUAGCUCACUAGUCGAGUGACACUGCGCCGAAAAUGUACCGGGGCUAAACAUAUUACCGAAGCUGUGGAUUGUCCUUUGGACAAUGGUAGGAGAGCGUUCUAAGGGCGUUGAAGCAUGAUCGUAAGGACAUGUGGAGCGCUUAGAAGUGAGAAUGCCGGUGUGAGUAGCGAAAGACGGGUGAGAAUCCCGUCCACCGAUUGACUAAGGUUUCCAGAGGAAGGCUCGUCCGCUCUGGGUUAGUCGGGUCCUAAGCUGAGGCCGACAGGCGUAGGCGAUGGAUAACAGGUUGAUAUUCCUGUACCACCUAUAAUCGUUUUAAUCGAUGGGGGGACGCAGUAGGAUAGGCGAAGCGUGCGAUUGGAUUGCACGUCUAAGCAGUAAGGCUGAGUAUUAGGCAAAUCCGGUACUCGUUAAGGCUGAGCUGUGAUGGGGAGAAGACAUUGUGUCUUCGAGUCGUUGAUUUCACACUGCCGAGAAAAGCCUCUAGAUAGAAAAUAGGUGCCCGUACCGCAAACCGACACAGGUAGUCAAGAUGAGAAUUCUAAGGUGAGCGAGCGAACUCUCGUUAAGGAACUCGGCAAAAUGACCCCGUAACUUCGGGAGAAGGGGUGCUCUUUAGGGUUAACGCCCAGAAGAGCCGCAGUGAAUAGGCCCAAGCGACUGUUUAUCAAAAACACAGGUCUCUGCUAAACCGUAAGGUGAUGUAUAGGGGCUGACGCCUGCCCGGUGCUGGAAGGUUAAGAGGAGUGGUUAGCUUCUGCGAAGCUACGAAUCGAAGCCCCAGUAAACGGCGGCCGUAACUAUAACGGUCCUAAGGUAGCGAAAUUCCUUGUCGGGUAAGUUCCGACCCGCACGAAAGGCGUAACGAUUUGGGCACUGUCUCAACGAGAGACUCGGUGAAAUCAUAGUACCUGUGAAGAUGCAGGUUACCCGCGACAGGACGGAAAGACCCCGUGGAGCUUUACUGUAGCCUGAUAUUGAAAUUCGGCACAGCUUGUACAGGAUAGGUAGGAGCCUUUGAAACGUGAGCGCUAGCUUACGUGGAGGCGCUGGUGGGAUACUACCCUAGCUGUGUUGGCUUUCUAACCCGCACCACUUAUCGUGGUGGGAGACAGUGUCAGGCGGGCAGUUUGACUGGGGCGGUCGCCUCCUAAAAGGUAACGGAGGCGCUCA
rnacentral:rRNA from 1 species